CCCUUAGAUGUUCUGGGCCGCACGCGUGCUACACUGAACGGUUCAAUGGGUAAGGUAGUGCGAAAGCAUGACCUAAUCUCGAAAUCCGUUCGUGCUGGGGAUAGAAGCUUGCAAUUAUCCUUCUUGAACGAGGAAUACCUUGUAAGCGUGAGUCAUCAUCUCACGCUGAAUACGUCCCUGCCCUUUGUACACACCGCCCGUCGCUCCUACCGAUUGAGUGUUCCGGUGAGGCUUUGGGAGAAUGGCCUCAACAUGAGUUUGUCGUGUUUUGCCGUUUGAACUUAGUCAAACCUUAUCACUUAGAGGAAGGAGAAGUCGUAACA
rnacentral:rRNA from 1 species